rnacentral:rRNA from 1 species
UACGUAGGGUGCGAGCGUUUGUCCGGAAUUAUUGGGCGUAAAGAGCUUGUAGGCGGUCUGUCGCGUCUGCUGUGAAAAUCCGGGGCUCAACCCCGGACUUGCAGUGGGUACGGGCAGACUAGAGUGUGGUAGGGGAGACUGGAAUUCCCGGUGUAGCGGUGAAAUGCGCAGAUAUCGGGAAGAACACCCGUGGCGAAGGCGGCUCUCUGGGACGGUACUGACGCUGAGACGCGAAAGCGUGGGGAGCGAACAGG